rnacentral:rRNA from 1 species
CGGAGCGGCGAACGGGUGAGUAACACGUGGGCAACCUGCCCCUAGCUCUGGGACAACUCCUCGAAAGAGGGGCUAAUACCGGAUAUGACUGCAGAAGGCAUUUUCUGUGGUGGAAAGUUUUUCGGCUAGGGAUGGGCCCGCGGCCUAUCAGCUUGUUGGUGGGGUAAUGGCCCACCAAGGCGACGACGGGUAGCCGGCCUGAGAGGGCGACCGGCCACACUGGGACUGAGACACGGCCCAG